rnacentral:rRNA from 1 species
GUGGGGAAUAUUGGACAAUGGGCGAAAGCCUGAUCCAGCCAUGCCGCGUGUGUGAAGAAGGUCUUCGGAUUGUAAAGCACUUUAAGUUGGGAGGAAGGGCAGUAAGUUAAUACCUUGCUGUUUUGACGUUACCGACAGAAUAAGCACCGGCUAACUUCGUGCCAGCAGCCGCGGUAAUACGAAGGGUGCAAGCGUUAAUCGGAAUUACUGGGCGUAAAGCGCGCGCAAGUGGUUUUGUAAGUUGGAGGUGAAAUCCCCGGGCUCAACCUGGGAACUGCCUCCAAAACUGCAUGACUAGAGUACGGUGGAGGGUAGUGGAAUUUCCUGUGUAGCGGUGAAAUGCGUAGAUAUAGGAAGGAACACCAGUGGCGAAGGCGACUACCUGGACUGAUACUGACACUGAGGUGCGAAAGCGUGGGGAGCAAACAGGAUUAGAUACCCGUGUAGUCC